AUUGAACGCUGGCGGCAUGCCUAACACAUGCAAGUCGAACGGUAACAGGUCUUCGGAUGCUGACGAGUGGCGGACGGGUGAGUAAUGCGUAGGAAUCUGUCUUAUAGUGGGGGACAACCCAGGGAAACUUGGGCUAAUACCGCAUGAGCCCUGAGGGGGAAAGCGGGGGAUCUCCGGACCUCGCGCUAAGGGAGGAGCCUACGUCUGAUUAGCUAGUUGGUAGGGUAAAGGCCUACCAAGGCGACGAUCAGUAGCUGGUCUGAGAGGACGACCAGCCACACUGGGACUGAGACACGGCCCAGACUCCUACGGGAGGCAGCAGUGGGGAAUUUUUCGCAAUGGGGGCAACCCUGACGAAGCAAUGCCGCGUGGAUGAAGAAGGCCUUCGGGUUGUAAAGUCCUUUCGUGGAGGACGAAAAGGCGGGUUCUAAUACAAUCUGCUGUUGACGUGAAUCCAAGAAGAAGCACCGGCUAACUCCGUGCCAGCAGCCGCGGUAAUACGGGGGGUGCAAGCGUUAAUCGGAAUCACUGGGCGUAAAGGGUGCGUAGGCGGUACGUUAGGUCUGUCGUGAAAUCCCCGGGCUCAACCUGGGAAUGGCGGUGGAAACCGGCGGACUAGAGUAUGGGAGAGGGUGGUGGAAUUCCAGGUGUAGCGGUGAAAUGCGUAGAGAUCUGGAGGAACAUCAGUGGCGAAGGCGGCCACCUGGCCCAAUACUGACGCUGAGGCACGAAAGCGUGGGGAGCAAACAGGAUAGAUACCCUGGUAGUCCACGCCCUAAACGAUGAAUACUAGAUGUUUGGUGCCACGCGUACUGAGUGUCGUAGCUAACGCGAUAAGUAUUCCGCCUGGGAAGUACGGCCGCAAGGUUA
rnacentral:rRNA from 1 species